UCGAACGGCAGCACGAGAUAAGCUUGCUUAUCUUGGUGGCGAGUGGCGAACGGGUGAGUAACGUAUCGGAACGUGCCCAGUAGCGGGGGAUAACUACGCGAAAGCGUGGCUAAUACCGCAUACGCCCUACGGGGGAAAGGGGGGGAUUCUUUUAGAACCUCUCACUAUUGGAGCGGCCGAUAUCAGAUUAGCUAGUUGGUGGGGUAAUGGCCUACCAAGGCCGCGAUCUGUAGCUGGUUUGAGAGGACGACCAGCCACACUGGGACUGAGACACGGCCCAGACUCCUACGGGAGGCAGCAGUGGGGAAUUUUGGACAAUGGGGGCAACCCUGAUCCAGCCAUCCCGCGUGUGCGAUGAAGGCCUUCGGGUUGUAAAGCACUUUUGGCAGGGAAGAAAAGGCGCGGGUUAAUACCCUGCGCCGCUGACGGUACCUGCAGAAUAAGCACCGGCUAACUACGUGCCAGCAGCCGCGGUAAUACGUAGGGUGCAAGCGUUAAUCGGAAUUACUGGGCGUAAAGCGUGCGUCGGCGGUUUGGCAAGAAAGGUGUGAAAUCCCAGGGCUUAACCUUGGAACUGCACUUUUAACUGCCAGGCUAGAGUAUGUCAGAGGGGGGUAGAAUUCCCCGUGUA
rnacentral:rRNA from 1 species